rnacentral:lncRNA from 1 species
GUGUGCCGCCACCCCUGGCUUCAUCGUGUUUUUAAAAAUGGUUCUAUCUAACCUUAGAGCUUCCAGUUAAAAAGGGAAUAAAAAUAUGAACCAAUACAGAUUUUGAAAGUAUGUUUAAUAAGCAUGUCAGUCAAUUUAUGCUAAAUUUAGCAAGUGUAUUAAGUACUUCCAAUGGGACAUUUUGGGGGAGAUUAUAGAUACAAAAGAAUCUCUCUACCUUUAAAGAUUAAUUUUCAUAUGGAGAUAUAUUUAUGGACAAUUGUGACCAUGAAUUUGGAUGGUGAAGCAGGAUUGAUUGGAGAAAUUGAUGGGAUUUAGAGAUGCUGAAGAUAAAAAAGGGGUAAUGGAACUGGGAAAGGAGUGUAGAUGAAAGUGAAAUUAAACUGUUAGGACCAGAUUGCCUGAAAUUAUUUGCUGUGAUUUUACUUCCCUUUAUGUAAAGUGAUGCCUUUGGAAAAUUUCAAAAGCAAUACCUGUUGAGAUUUUGAUAGUAAUACACAUGGCCUUGAACAAAUACUAAAAAGUACAAAAAAAAAAAUCAUAGUCUCACUUUCCAUUCUAAUUUACAUAGGUAACCGAUGUGAUGGUUUCCCCUUAGAUUUCUUUCUAAGCUUAUAUAAUCAUUGUAUGCAUAUAUAGUUAUGUUUGUGAUAUAUGUGGCAUAUACAGUCAUACACCAUAUUAGGAUGCUUUGGUCAAUGAGGAACUACAUAUAUGACUCUGGUCUUAAGGUUAUAUCACCUGGCAAAAUUGUAGUCAUCUUAGUUCAUGUAAAUACUCUUCAUGAUGGAUCACACCAUGAAGAAAUUGCCUGAUUGCUUUUUUUAAUCUAUUAUAAGCAACACAUGAAUACGAAUAUAUUUCUACACAAAGCUUUUUUCCACUCACAUCUCUUUCUAUUAAAAUGUCUUCAUUCAUUCAAUGAUUCUAGGGCAGUUAGAGAAUUUUCCUGUCAGAACAGUGCUAAAAUGGAUAAUCUUGUGCAUGUAUUUUUAUGCUUACACUUUUU